rnacentral:rRNA from 1 species
AGCCAUGCAUGUCUAAGUAUAAAUGGUAUACAGUGAAACUGCGAAUGGCUCAUUAAAACAGUUAUAGUUUAUUUGGUAAUCGAAUUUACAUGGAUAACCGUGGUAAUUCUAGAGCUAAUACAUGCUGUAAGCCCGACUUUUCGGAAGGGCCGUAUUUAUUAGAUAACAGACCAAUAUUCUUCGUGUCUAUUGUGGUGAAUCAUAGUAACUAAUCGGAUCGCAUGGGCCUGUCCCGCGACAAACCAUUCAAGUUUCUGCCCCAUCAGCUUUCGAUGGUAGUGUAUUGGACUACCAUGGCUUUUACGGGUAACGGAGGAUUAGGGUUCGAUUCCGGAGAGGGAGCCUGAGAAACGGCUACCACAUCUAAGGAAGGCAGCAGGCGCGUAAAUUACCCAAUCCUAACUCAGGGAGGUAGUGACAAGAAAUAAUGGGUCGGAGCUACGCUCCGGGACCGCAAUGAGAUGAAUUUACACCCCUUUUCGAGGAUCAAUUGGAGGGCAAGUCUGGUGCCAGCAGCCGCGGUAAUUCCAGCUCCAAUAGCGUAUAUUAAAGUUGUUGCAGUUAAAAAGCUCGUAGUUGGAUUUCUGGUUAAAGGUUAGAGCGCACCUGUGUGAGGCUCGAGUCUUUUGCCAUCCUUCUGUUAACCUUUCAUGACAUUCGUUUGUCGGUUUGGGGCUCAGAUAUUUUACCUUGAGAAAAUUAGAGUGUUUCAGGCAGGCUUGUGCCCGGAUACAUUAGCAUGGAAUAAUGGAAUAGGACUUUAGCCUCUUCUGUUGGUCUGAGGGGUUGAAGUAAUGAUUAAUAGGGAUAGUUGGGGGCAUUAGUACUUAACUGUCAG